rnacentral:rRNA from 1 species
AUACCGCAUACGCCCUGAGGGGGAAAGCGGGGGAUCGUAAGACCUCGCGUUAUUGGAGCGGCCGAUGCCGGAUUAGCUAGUUGGUGAGGUAAGAGCUCACCAAGGCGACGAUCCGUAGCUGGUCUGAGAGGACGACCAGCCACUCGAAAAAUGAGACACGGCCCAGACUCCUACGGGAGGCAGCAGUGGGGAAUUUUGGACAAUGGGCGCAA